CUGGUUUCCUUGGAGACACUGACCGUGGGCUUUGGGGUCUGAAGCUUUAGUGGGUCCUCUGUCCAGACCAUCCCUUGCCUCUUCUUGGGCCGGCGACCUCAGAGACUGCAGACUGUUCCUUCCAAACACGACCCCGGGGACGCAGUGAGUCUGACCUAUCAGAUUCCUCCAGGCCAGGAAGGUCUUAGACACCCGCUCCCCCGCCGUGUUCCCAGCGCCCAGUGCCUACCUCCCCAAAGGAAGGCCGUUGAGGGCUCCCCAGAAGCACAGUGAGAACCCUGGACUGCCCGAUAGAGCCCUGGGGUGAAGUUACAAUCCUCCAGUUUCCUGUCACCGCUGGGACAUCUCAGAACCACACUGCAAGAGGCAGAAGUGUCAGCACUCGAAAGCAUAACCAUUGCAUAGUAUUAAAUGAACAGAGAUGGUGAGUUCUUUAUUUACAAUUAUUGUCUAGAUAAAAAAAUUCAUAAAAACAGAUGAAUGGUCAUAAAUUAUUGACCCCCUAGUGGGGUGAGUUGCCAAACAUAUCCCAUGCUGCUAGAUAUAGGACGCAGACUGCAAGCUUUGUGUACUACAGUGAGUUUUUGACAAUCCAUCCAUUUCCUAUGUGCGUGCAUGUGUGGGUGUAUGUGAACAUGUAUGAUUGAGGGGGCACAUGUGUGAUCACUCUUCCUGAUGAGAAGAGAGCAACAUGUGUGUUGGACAUUCUCAGUGCUUUCAUGGUUCCUUUUCACCCAAGCAGGGUCCGCUUGGAGACGCCUCCCAUCUGCCUUGGGUUCUGGCCCACAGCAUAGGGAGCCUGGCGUGCAGCCGAUGGUCCUGACGUCAUGGAAUGAGGUCAUGAAUGCAUGGUCAAACAGAGAAAGGGCAAAUGGAAAAGUGAGAAAAGAAACUCCAAAAAACCACCGUGUUGCAAGUUUUCCUGGCUGCACAUCCUUCCUUCCUUGGAGGAGCGCAGCAGGCAGGCAUUGGUGGUGUUUUUACCAGAAUCCAAUCUGGGCAUCUGAGGGCUGGUGCCCUGUGGCUGGGGAUGCAGUGUCCUCUGAUGGAUACAUUCAGAGAGAGUUCUUCACAACAUUCAGGCGGUGCUCUCUCACACAGAACAUCCUCCUUACAGGAGGUUUUGCCAGGUGGGGUGGGCUGACUUCGAACCCCGAACCCUUUAGGAUUUCCCACAGCUGUUAGAUGUAGGCCCGCCCAGCUGACUAUGGCUCUGUUCCCAAGUGGCUGUCAUCUUGUUAGUGGAAGAGUUCUCUGGGCCUGGAGGAGGGUGGAGGCGGGCUGACACUGAGCAGUCACGGGGAGGGUCAGUGUGAGGAAUGGAUUUUGCAAGCCAGGCGAAAGUGUUUGGUUUUCCUUGAAGCAUGGGACAUCAUCGAUCAUGGUAUUCAAAUUGUCUUUUGCACUGUACAAGUUUAUGGAAAAAGAUCAUAUGCCGAAAAGUCUCAAAGCAAACUUUGUAUUAAAUACAAAAGUUCUUUUAUGAAAAAAGCUGAGACCCACAAAGUGCUUAGCAGUUUAGAGGCUGACAGACAAUUCAAUGAGCUCUUAUUAAGUGGGAUUACUAGUGCUGUUAUUGUCUUGCGGGAAGUAACUGUCUUUCUCACCUGUGACACGGGAGGGUUCAGAAUGGCUUUCUGUCUGGGGAAGCAAGACUUGCUGUUAAAAGGCUACAGUAUAUAUUGUGACUACAGGAAGACAAUUUGGUUUAAAAAUCACACUGAAUCCAUCUCAAUAUACAUGUCAUAAGGUUCAUUCGGAUCUAAAUAGUGCAGAGAAAAAGGCUAUUCUUUAAAAAUAAAAAUAAAAGCAGCAAGCUAUACGAAGCCUCAUCUGAUAUGCCAACAGCUCUUUUGCUGCCCUUUAUAAAGAAAUAAACCUUUAAAUUACUAACUAAAAAAAUCAACACAAUACCAUUUAUGAUAUUUUAUCACUACCUCACACUCUUUACAGACAGUGCCAGAGACAGCCUAUUUUGGAAGUGCUCCUGGUAAACUCUAGUGAGUUUCAUUGAGAGAAAAGCCUUCGCCCAGCGCCUUGCAGAUUCUGACACCAUUGGGCUGGGCUGUGCACUCGAGUUGCAAAUGCAGAAACUUCUCUCCUCGUCUCCUUUUGUCUACGGAGCACGGUGGUGAACCCUGCAGGAUGGAUCCUCAGUAGCACUGGCUUCUGCCUGAGCCUUCCACAGUAGUAAUGUGAUUGAAAUGGAAAUAGCAGGCAAAAAUAAGAGCAUGGCUAUUGUAAAACAUCAAGGAUGCAAUCCGGGGAAGUGUCUGCUGGGCCAAGCUGUUUUCAUAGCAUCUCAGCCACCAGUGUCCUUAAACCAUACAAAUAGCCAAAGACAUUAUCUACAGUGGCCGUGACCCCAUUGCUAGUGGGUGCUUCCUGACCAGCUGAGAAACUCUGGAUGACGUGACCUCUUUAUGGCUGGGCCCUG